UCCCUGGUGGCUCAGAUGGUAAAGCAUCUGCCUACAAUGCAGGAGACCCAGGUUCAAUCCUUGGGUCGGGAA
rnacentral:tRNA from 1 species